rnacentral:rRNA from 1 species
GAUGAACGCUGGCGGCGUGCCUAAUACAUGCAAGUCGAGCGAACAGACGAGGAGCUUGCUCCUCUGACGUUAGCGGCGGACGGGUGAGUAACACGUGGAUAACCUACCUAUAAGACUUGGAUAACUUCGGGAAACCGGAGCUAAUACCGGAUAAUAUAUUGAACCGCAUGGUUCAAUAGUGAAAGACGGUUUUGCUGUCACUUAUAGAUGGAUCCGCGCCGCAUUAGCUAGUUGGUAAGGUAACGGCUUACCAAGGCAACGAUGCGUAGCCGACCUGAGAGGGUGAUCGGCAACACUGGAACUGAGACACGGUCCAGACUCCUACGGGAGGCAGCAGUAGGGAAUAUUACGCAAUGGGCGAAAGCCUGACGGAGCAACGCCGCGUGAGUGAUGAAGGUCUUCGGAUCGUAAAACUCUGUUAUUAGGGAAGAAAAAAUGUGUAAGUAACUAUGCACGUCUUGACGGUACCUAAUCAGAAAGCCACGGCUAACUACGUG